UGUGUACGUAGUCGGCUGUACUAUUGCUAAUACUAGUAACUAUUGCUAUAACUUUUGAAUUUUUAAUUUUUUUCUGUUACAGAUAGGAGCCUACCGCCUUGACGUAUAAAGUUAUGCUGCGGUAGGGAAGUGUUUAAAAAAACAAACUAACUGAAAAUCUGAAUUUGGAAUUGUACCGCUCAGCAGAA